GUAGGGAAUAUUGCACAAUGGAGGAAACUCUGAUGCAGCGACGCCGCGUGAGUGAUGAAGGCCUUCGGGUCGUAAAACUCUGUGAUAAGGGAAGAUGAUGACGGUACCUUAUCAGAAAAGACCGGCUAACUUCGUGCCAGCAGCCGCGGUAAUACGAGGGGUCUAAGCGUUGUUCGGAAUCACUGGGCGUAAAGCGGGUGUAGGUGGCUAUGCAAGUUGGAUGUGAAAGCACCGGGCUCAACCCGGGAAGUGCAUCCAAAACUACGUAGCUUGAGUGCGGGAGAGAAAGGCAGAAUUCCUGGUGUAGUGGUGAAAUACGUAGAUAUCAGGAGGAACUCCGGUGGCGAAGGCGGCCUUUUGGCCCAGCACUGACACUCAGACCCGAAAGCGUGGGUAGCAAACAGGAUUAGAUACCCUAGUAGUCC
rnacentral:rRNA from 1 species